GGAGCCAAUUAUGAUGGGGUCGUGGAUAAAAGAGCGGCCCCUCCUACGCCUCCUCCCUCUGUCUCCCGCUGGCGUAAUUUCCGGGACGUCCUGUGUGGCUGCAACAGGGGCUGUGGGUGGAUUCUGGCUCCAUGUGGUCUCCUUGUCUGGUAAAUGCUGGUAGCGGCUCGCUGCUCUUGCCUCGUCUCACUGGUUGCAUGAACAGGUGCUGUACCAUAAGGUAUGUAGUUCAUUCUUUCUGAGUCUAACCUGUCCUGUGGGGGGAGCGAUCGGGUAUUUAAUUUCCUUUUUGUUUAAGUAGGAUCAAGUCCAUCACCUCCAUUGGCUCCCUUCCGUCUGCAUGACCUCUGCUGCUUUGUCCUGCUUCAAGUUCCUGUCCGUCCGUGCAGCUGUUUCCCGGCUCGGGUUUGGCUGGCUCCGGCGUGCUGCGGUGCUUUGCUGCCGUCCGUCCUAUUGCGCUGGUCGCCCACCUGUGGUUGGGUCGUUCGCCUUCGCCGCGGCUCGUAGCAGCCCGUUCUCGGCUGCCAGCGUCCGCUCUUUUUUUUAGUGAGGGUUUCGUGACCCCUUUUAUCUGGUUCACACUUUCGGAUUUCGUUUUUCAUUCAAUUCCGAUUGUGUUCAAUUGAUGCUGGCGAUUUGAUUUGUAUUAGCAGUUUUAUCAUUUCAUCUGGUGAUAUUUUAACUUUGUAUAUUUGCUGAUUAUAUUUGGUGCUUUUCUUUUUGUUUCAGGGGCUGACGGCCUGUAGUGGUGUGGGUGAUCGUAGGAGAUUCUCCUGUCUGCUGUGCCGUUUCCAGGGAUGUGGGUCGUUCACGGGUGUGCUCUUUUCACGUGUGUCUGGGGGAACUUUUACUUUGGGGACCCCUCCUUUCGCUUGCCCUAGCUACUUUUAGGCCGAAGCCCUUGAUUAACUUUUGUUUUUGCAUUUUCUUUUGUUUGGAUCCUUUGUAUUAAUAAAAUAUUAUUGUGACUAA